CAAUAGCGUAUAUUAAAGUUGUUGCGGUUAAAAAGCUCGUAGUUGGAUUUCUGCCGAGGACGACCGGUCCGCCCUCUGGGUGAGUAUCUGGCUCGGCCUGGGCAUCUUCUUGGAGAACGUAGCUGCACUUGACUGUGUGGUGCGGUAUCCAGGACUUUUACUUUGAGGAAAUUAGAGUGUUUCAAGCAGGCUUACGCCUUGAAUACAUUAGCAUGGAAUAAUAAGAUAGGACCUCGGUUCUAUUUUGUUGGUUUCUAGAGCUGAGGUAAUGAUUAAUAGGGAUAGUUGGGGGCAUUCGUAUUUAACUGUCGGAGGUGAAAUUCUUGGAUUUGUUAAAGACGGACUACUGCGAAAGCAUUUGCCAAGGAUGUUUUCAUUGA
rnacentral:rRNA from 1 species